CGCCUCUUCCCGGCCGCCAUCACAUCUGGGAAGUGAGGAGCCUCUCUGCCCGGUCGCCCAUCGUCUGAGAUGUGGGGAGCACCUCUGCCCUGCCGCCCCGUCCGGGAUGUGAGGAGCGUCUCUGCCCGGCUGCCCCGUCUGAGAAGUGAGGAGACCCUCUGCCUGGCAACCGCCCGGUCUGAGAAGUGAGGAGCGUCUCCGCCCAGCAGCCACCUCGUCCGGGAGGGAGGUGGGGGGGUCAGCCCCCCGCCCGACCAGCUGCCCUGUCCGGCAGAGGGGAAUGCUGCUACAAGACAGGAUUCUGCUUCAGAACCCAGCUAUGAGAGAGGCACUCUCCCACUACCCAGAAGGUAGAAGAGAGGAAGUAGGCUCAAAUCCACCGAAGUGCUUCUGGGAAGCGGAGCAGGAGGCAAAGAAAAAUGGUGUCCCACUAUGUUGCCCAGGUUGGUCUCAAACUCAUGGACUCAAGUGAUCCUCCUGCCUCGGCUUCCCAAAGUGCUAGGAUUACAGCAUCUUCCCACCACCUCCAUCUUCACCACGCUGGCCAAGACACCAUCUUUCACCUGGAUCUCUCACCUGUAAAACCUUCCAACUGGUUUUCCUACCUGUACAUAUCCAUCUUCAUGACCUCAGAUUUUACCUUGGGUCUCCUCCUGAUCAUGAGAAGCUACUACAGUCCCAGCUGCAAGUUAUUCAUAACUAGGUAUGUCUUACCAUGGAGGCAGCAGGGCCAAAUCUUGACCCCAUUACAUGUUUCCU
rnacentral:lncRNA from 10 species